AGGAGGGCGGUGGUGGUGGGCAGAGAAUCAAGAGCGCGAGUAAGUGAGAGGAGGUGAGUGUAGAGGGAGGGGGGGGAGGGGGCGGUGGCGGGUUGAGAAUGCCACCGCCCCUUCGCAAAGUGAACUGGAAAACGAAAGGGGGUGGACGGCGAGAACAGAUGUGUAGUGUGCGCCUUGGACGCGCUUGUGUGUGUGUGUGUGUGUGUGUGUGUGUAUGUGUAUGUGUAUGGGCCUGCAGCGUAGCAACCGCACUACCCCAUUUCUUUUGGUGUUGUUCCUUCGUUGUUGUUUAGCUGCGGUGGAUAACGUCGUUGUGCGCGAGCCGCUGCAUGCUUCGUGUGUUCACUGUUACUUCUGGUGGUUUGUUCUCCAUCUCUUGCGGUGCGUGUGUGUGCGUUUGUGUGUGUGUCUUCCUGCCCCCUCCCCCUCUCUUGGCCACCACGCGCCCUCUCUCCUGCUGCGAGCGCCGCAGCCACUCUUAUAUCGGCGCCUAGCGUCUCAAGUGAGAUGUUCUCCAGUAGGAUUGCCCGCUCGUGCUCCCAAGGCGGCGGAGUGUGAAGGCGAAGACAAGCGCACCCACGCAGAAAAAAAACAUUAGGGGAGGAGGGAGUAUGCCCGAGAUAGCGGGGGAGAGAGAGGGAGGGAGCCUUAGCACUGCAAUACGGCAGCCUUAUGGUGUUUGCAAGUUGUGUAGCGGAUGGGGGGAGGUCGCUGCUGCAGAAGGUGUGUGCUGGCCCCCGCUCCACUGUGGCAGCUCACUCCCUGCAUACAUGCAUGCUUACACAAAAAUGCCGCUCUGACUAUCCCUCGCGUUGUUGUCUUGGGUCGGUGAGGAUGCGCGAUUGCUGCGUGGCGCCGCCCUUCUGCUGAGGCUGCUGAGGAUGGAAGUUGCAGCGCUGCCGGUGAUGCACGCACACACACACACACACGCACACACACACAAACUUGCAGAGAUGUUUGUGUGUGUGCGUGUAGGUUCGCGGCCUCCCUGCCCCUUAACCCCUUUCCUUACGUCCCCCGGGCAUGUGCUCCGAAACGAAAAGAAGGGCGACGCACACAAUUGAAAGAGAUGAAAUUGCCCACACGUGCACCAACGCGCGUGUGUGAGCACGUCUGCGUGUGGGCGCCCGCUCGCUCUCUGUUUCUCCUCGCUGUAUGGAACGCCGCCGUCUCCCACGCACACGCCUUUUUUCUUUCUUAACUCCCUCGUCGUCGUCGUCCUCACUCAGCCGCCGCUGCCGCCGCCCCAGUGGCCCUGCCAUGUACACUUAGCAAGCAAGCAGCGCACAAGAUGCACAAAGGAAAGGAAGAGAAGAACGCAUGAUGCAUGGAAAACAGAAACGCGCAGGCGUCCACACUG
rnacentral:misc_RNA from 1 species